UACGGAGGUGGCAAGCGUUGUUCGGAAUUACUGGGCGUAAAGGGCGCGUAGGCGGUUGAGCAAGUCAGAUGUGAAAGCCCCGAGCUUAACUCGGGAACUGCAUCUGAAACUGCCUGACUUGAGUCCUGGAUGGGGUAGUGGAAUUCCCAGUGUAGCGGUGAAAUGCGUAGAUAUUGGGAGGAACACCUGCGGCGAAGGCGGCUACCUGGACAGUGACUGACGCUGAGGCGCGAAAGCUAGGGGAGCGAACGGG
rnacentral:rRNA from 1 species